CGGAUGAAACCACGAAACAACCU
rnacentral:siRNA from 1 species